CUCCUCCCUUUUCUUCCCUGGCCUAAUAAAGUCCAAAUAUGCAAUAAGGAUUUCCCAUGUAUCAGUCCAGAGAAGACUCUCCAGCCUUUUGCAGUCGGAGCGUGGUAUUUCCUUACUUACCCUCAAGUGCUUUUUGCAAGUGAGCAGCCAUCGCUUCCUCUCGGCUCCCCCAGCCCUCCUGACAGCGGCGUGCAGAGGAGCCGUGCUGCACCUCCGCUCCUCGCACCAGCUCUCGGAUCGAUCAGCACUUUGCUGUAUUUCAGCCCGGACUGCUCCUUUCUUCAGGCACGUGUGGUUAAAUUUUCCUACAAGGAUUGAGAGAGCAGAGUCAAGUAGACUUCUUGAUGCUAUGCUCUCGAAGACAGAGCAAUGCUGCUAAGAGGAGAGGAGUUAAAGCCCUGUCAGUGCAGUAGGCAUCUGACUUUUUUUUUGGGAGAUUUGGGGGGAAGAGACAAGGUCUUGCAGCAUUUGAGACAUACGCGGCAGCCCCAGGGAGGGCGAGUUAGCCUGUUGUUUGCAACAAGUCGGGUGCGUGUAUGAACUAUUGUUCCUCUGUCGGAGGAAAUUAACUGGCAUUUCCAUUUCUUCUGCUUAUAGACUUUUACUUAUAAGGCUGCGAUGGGGAGUGAUGCUCUUCGUGUUUGUUUUUAGCAUCUCUGGGCGCUAGGGCCUUGUAGGAGAGAGGCACUUCAAAGCCACGCAGUUUGGAAGCGCAUCGAGUCCUCCCACGCUGAGCCAUCAAGGUGACGACUUGGUCACAUCCUGGAAAUAUGUUUGGGUUUUGUGUUUUGGGUUGCUUUUUUCUUUAUUCUUUCUUUCUUUUUUUUUUUUUAAUGGUUUUAUGAGCUGUUCCAACUGUUUCUUGAAUUUUUUUAACAGUCAUCAUGCUUCCUGUAAGAGUCAUGGAAAAGUGGAUCUUCACCUUGUUUCUGUCCUUCUUGAGGAUCUGGUUAGCUUUGUGGGUGACCACAGACAAGAAAAUCUGUGCAGAGGAGGCAGCGUGUGGUGUGUGCAUAUUUAAAAAAAAAAAAAAAAAAAAAGAAUGAACAAGAAUGUAUUUGAGAAGCUGCCUUUGCUAGCGGGCUGUGAAGAUGAGGUAACUACUAGAGGGGAAACAAGUAACAAAUGGAAAAGAUGCUGAAAUGUUCAAGAACCAAAAGUUGCCCUAGAGCAGGUAUCAGAAGAAAGGCACAGCCUAUGUUUUUUUGGGGGUAGGAUGAAAGAGAGCAUCGACUUACCAAAGGCUAGGGGCAAGGAAGCUGUCCUGGUGGUACUGUUUUAACAUACCAAAGAAAAUAGUUUGGGGAGGGAAAAGAUGUCAGUAAUCUGAGGUGGUACCCACAAGGCGAGCUCGGGAAGCAAUAGGGACAAUUGCUUGGAAGAUGUAAACCCAAUUUGCAUCCGUUAGGGUGUAUUAAAGCUCCACAUGGAUGCUCCCAUUCAGGAGGUAGUCAGCGUAGCUCUGAGGAUUCAGACUCAAGCACUCCAAGAC
rnacentral:lncRNA from 1 species